GAUGAACGCUAGCGGCAGGCUUAACACAUGCAAGUCGAGGGGCAGCAUGAGACGGAGAUUCGUCGAAGUCUUGAUGGCGACCGGCGCAAGGGUGCGUAACGCGUGAGCAACUUGCCCGUUUCUGGGGAAUAACCGGUGGAAACGCCGACUAAUACCCCAUAGUAUUGACUUUGGGCAUCCUUAGUCAAUUAAAGAAUUUCGGAAACGGAUAGGCUCGCGUGACAUUAGCUAGAUGGCGGGUAACGGCCCACCAUGGCUACGAUGUCUAGGGGUUCUGAGAGGAAGGUCCCCCACACUGGAACUGAGACACGGUCCAGACUCCUACGGGAGGCAGCAGUGAGGAAUAUUGCACAAUGGGCGCAAGCCUGAUGCAGCGAUGCCGCGUGAGGGAAGAAGGUUUUUCCGGAUUGUAAACCUCUGUCUUCAGGGACGAUAAUGACGGUACCUGAGGAGGAAGCUCCGGCUAACUACGUGCCAGCAGCCG
rnacentral:rRNA from 1 species